GAUGAACGCUGGCGGCGUGCUUAACACAUGCAAGUCGAACGAUGAAGCCCAGCUUGCUGGGUGGAUUAGUGGCGAACGGGUGAGUAACACGUGAGUAACCUGCCCUUAACUCUGGGAUAAGCCUGGGAAACUGGGUCUAAUACCGGAUAGGAGCGUCCACCGCAUGGUGGGUGUUGGAAAGAUUUAUCGGUUUUGGAUGGACUCGCGGCCUAUCAGCUUGUUGGUGAGGUAAUGGCUCACCAAGGUGACGACGGGUAGCCGGCCUGAGAGGGUGACCGGCCACACUGGGACUGAGACACGGCCCAGACUCCUACGGGAGGCAGCAGUGGGGAAUAUUGCACAAUGGGCGAAAGCCUGAUGCAGCGACGCCGCGUGAGGGAUGACGGCCUUCGGGUUGUAAACCUCUUUCAGUAGGGAAGAAGCGAAAGUGACGGUACCUGCAGAAGAAGCACCGGCUAACUACGUG
rnacentral:rRNA from 1 species